UACGUAGGGUGCGAGCGUUGUCCGGAAUUAUUGGGCGUAAAGGGCUCGUAGGCGGUCUGUCACGUCGGGAGUGAAAACUCAGGGCUUAACCCUGAGCCUGCUUCCGAUACGGGCUGACUAGAGGUAUGCAGGGGAGAACGGAAUUCCUGGUGUAGCGGUGAAAUGCGCAGAUAUCGGGAAGAACACCCGUGGCGAAGGCGGCUCUCUGGGACGGUACUGACGCUGAGACGCGAAAGCGUGGGGAGCGAACAGG
rnacentral:rRNA from 1 species